rnacentral:rRNA from 1 species
UACAGAGGGUGCGAGCGUUAAUCGGAAUUACUGGGCGUAAAGCGUGCGUAGACGGUUAUUUAAGUCGGAUGUGAAAGCCCCGGGCUCAACCUGGGAAUUGCAUUCGAGACUGAAUAGCUAGGGUGCGGUAGAGGGAAGCGGAAUUUCCGGUGUAGCGGUGAAAUGCGUAGAGAUCUGGAAGAACACCAAAGGCGAAGGCAGCAUCCUGGCUCGGAUCUGACGCUCAUGUGCGAAAGCUAGGGGAGCGAACGGG